UGAUAGCAAAGAACUCAUCUGCCUCUUUUUUCUUCUCUCUCCUGCUCUCUCGUGCUCUCCCUGCUGCCUCUUUCUUGCUCUUCCCAUCUCCCAGCUCGCCCAUCUCCUCGCUCAUCGCCUAUCUCCUCGCUCGUCGCCCAUCUCCUCGCUCAGGCUUCCCAUCUCCUCGGGACAAAUCCUUCGAUUCAUUGCAAGGUAACAAAAUUAGAUGUGGGUAGAUGGAUUUUCUUGCUUUUAGUGUUGAAUUAGGCCUUUUGUUUUAUAUUUUGUGUUUUGGUUUUGAAAAAUUGGAGGGCUAAUAUUUUUUCAGGGCCAAACCCUAGAAUCUGCAGAUUUGUUUGUGUUGAUAGACAACUUUUUGAUUUAUGAAUAUUGUUCUGGGUUAUAGUGGGUGGUGUUAAAAAUAGAAAGCAGAGCACAUUUGUUCUGCUGUUAUGGAGUGUUAUUAUUUGAGAAUGAGUUGUAAUUUGAUGAGAAACUCCUCUUUCACUUUCUCUCUCCAAAACCUUCAAAAUAUUCCCGAUCCCCUCUAUUCUUCUCCUCCGUUUGCCUCGUUUCUUCUGUCUCUUCGCUGAAUAAUUAAUUAUGUACUAUCUUUUCGUUUGCUUUUAUGUUAGUUUUGUUGAUUUUUUUUGUUAUAAAUUGUUUCAGAGAUUGUUCAGCUGUGUUUGUUUGAUAACGACUCUUUAAAAUUGUGUUCAUGGGUUUGACAACAUUUAUGUACUACACAAUACACAAUACACAUCUGCCUAUACAUCAUCUGUUAGUUUUGGCCAUACUAGGGUGUAUUGAGUUUGAUUAUGUAGGCCAUUUUGAUUAUGCUUAUUAGAUUUAACAGUAAUGAUGCUAAUAGUUCUCCUCAGCUUAAGAGAGGUUUCUGAAAAAAAUAAUAUUUUUCAGGUCAGCAACAAUAUUAGAAAGUUGCCACUAAUUUUUAUUGGCACUCCACAUUUUAUAUGAAGGAGACGAGUAUUCUUAAAUUGCUUGAUAUUUUAACUAUUAAUGUGAGACAUUAUUGUCAAAGUGUAUUUCUGAGUGUCAAUAUCAUCAUCCUUUUCUGAGGGAGGGAGACAAUAUAUGGGAUGGAAGUGAUAUCCAUUGCCUAGUAACUGGAUAUGUGAAUUGCUUGCAUAACAAAAGCCCAUACACAAAUUAAGAUCCUAGUAAAUGGGUAAUAUGACCAUACGUUUAUUACACAAAAAGAAUUUGUUUGUAAUUUAUUUAUUUUUAAAAAAUAUUUUAAAAAUACCUUCUACAAUUGGUUUAGUUGUUUUGAAGGGCCAAUACCUUCUAGCAUUUCUGUCUUGAGCAAUUUAGCUCAAGUAUAAGCUCUCUGAUUGCUGUUCCUGUUUCCUUCUUAAGUAUAAGCUCUCUGUUUUAUUUAUUGGCAGAGACCUUAGCUUUAACAAGCUGGAAGGGGAGAUACCAAAUGAUCUUGAAAGCCUAUCACAUCUGGAGACUAUCUAAGCAACCAAAAUUAAGGAAGAUGUUUUUAACUUGUGUAGGAAUUCUUUCUAGUUGUUUGAUAUACAUUUGUCAUAAUGUAUCCAAGUGUGAUGUCACACAUGAAUGUCAUACAUAAUGUAUCCAAGUUUUUGUUGGCCUGUAAGUUCUUUUGGAUGUAUUUGUUGAUUUGCUAUUUCCCAACUUUUCAAAUUUGUUCUUCUAUUUAAUGUGCAAGCCCUGAGUUUUUUUUUAAAUUCUAAAAGCAAAUUCAUUUUAUUGGCCCAUCUUUGUUCCAUGGUCAUUUUGGGGAAAAUCUUUUAGAGAUUUUUGUUUUGUUUAUAAUGGACUUUGUGCUGUUUGUAGGCCAACUACUGGUGGUGGUCCGCUUCCUGCGCCAGCCAAGGCAUAAAUUUUGUGCUAAGGAUUGUCAAAUACAAACUCUGUUUACCUGUAAAAAAGUUCAAGAAAGCUCUAUUUGAAGACCAAUAUUUUAGGCUAGCGUCGCUUGCUAGCAUAUAAUAUUGCACUUGUAGGAAUUGUAUUCUUCCUCAGAAAAGGCUUUAUUUUUGCAGUUGUAAUUGAUUCUUUGAAGGAUAUUCAUAAUUAUUAUAGAUAAAAGGAGUAUAUUGGAAUAAAGAAAAUUCUUCGAUCAAAGUUGCAA
rnacentral:lncRNA from 1 species